GUGUACAGCUGCAUGACCUGACAAGUUGGGAAUUACUAACUGAAAGUUUGGGAUUGUUCUGGUUCAGAGUGUUUGUUGGCGAUAAGUCUCAUGAUGAAUCGAAUGGAGAAACUGCGGUUGGAAAUAAAGGCUGAGUUCUUGGAGCUCCUUGUCUUGCUGGUUCUGGCUGUAAGUUGUUGUGCUCUGGACAUGCUCUUACACGCUCACAAACGCUUCCUGCAGGUUGUUGGCAUCCAAGCCGACCAUCGAGACAAAAAAAUGACAAUAGAUCAGGUCACAUCAGUUGUCCUGCGUGUUCUUCUUCUUUUCCUUUGCUACAAGAUGACCAACUUCAUCCUUCUGCUGGUCACCUUCUUUCUUAGGUGGCUAGUGAAUGUUAGAGCAGCUUUGUUUGUUCCUGUUUUAAUCCUGAGUGGCCAAAGUGUCAGCUUAGAAGCUAUGUGUACAAUACUGGCGUGUGCAGUGACCAUCUGCAUCCUUCAUUGGAUUUGGAAACGAGAAAGGGACAUGGCCAUGGAUACCCGAGUUAUUCAACUUGAAAAGGAGGUGAAUAUGUUAUAUCAAUGGAGGUGAACAGAUGAAGAAGCAGAUUUGGUAUUUUGUGCUCCUGUCUUAUAGACUUUUGCAUAUUUUGUUUUUAGCGCUCUUAGGGCCUGAUUUACUAAAGGUUUGCGUGUCUUAAAACGUGUGCAAACUUGA